ACACAAAAGCAUACAUGGGAACAUAAGUACAGUACAGAGGACUUUACACUGUGCGGGGGUUAAACCUAAAUGAUAAGAGGCAUUCUUCAAAUUGGGUCUUUUUAUUUUACUUCUGUACAACCAAAGAAUGGACAAUAAAAAAAAAUCUCAAGGCUUUCUUUCCUAUUUAUCACCUUUUGGAUUUCCAGAAGAAGUUCAUGAUGAAGAUGAAAGCAGUACUUUAAAAAAGAAAGGUAAGAAAACGAGCGGAGUAUUUCAUGAUCAUUUAGAGGAGAGAAUACGUCCGUUCAUUGAUCUUAUUGACACUCUGCGGUCAAUUGGCGUUCAAAAGGAACUGGCACUGCCAACUAUUGUAGUAAUUGGAGACCAGAGUUCUGGAAAAAGUUCUGUUUUGGAAGCGCUGUCUGGAGUUUCACUUCCGGGA